GAUGAAGAACGUAUCGAAAUGCGAUAAGUAAUGUGAAUUGCAGAAUUCAGUGAAUCAUCGAAUCUUUGAACGCACAUUGCGCCCGCUGGUAUUCCGGCGGGCAUGCCUGUUCGAGCGUCAUUUCAACCCUCAAGCUCUCCGGAGUUUGGUGUUGGGGCGCCUGGGGCUUUUCGACCUCAGGGCCCUCAAGUCCAUCGGCGGGACCGCCAGGACACUGAGCGCAGUAGUAUUAUUUCGCUCGGUAGGAUCUUCCACGGCGGGUCGAUCUGGCCGCUAAACCCCCCAAUUCUCACCAAAGGUUGACCUCGGAUCAGGUAGGAAUACCCGCUGAACUUAAGCAUAUCAAUAAGCGGAGGA
rnacentral:misc_RNA from 1 species